rnacentral:lncRNA from 1 species
UUAGCUCUAUUUGUUAUAAGUACUUUAUUGAUCUCCUAGCUAAAAAGCUAAUAAAGCUAGGUGCAAUUUCAAAUUAGUACGGUAGUUUGAUAAGUGGCUGUAAUCUUUCUUUGAGGAAUAAAAGCCAUCGUUCUUUCUUUCUUUCAUGCCCUAAUUUCAAGCAAUGGUUGGCUCACUGUGUAUCUUAAAAGCUGACAAGAUUUAUAAGAAUUAAGUGGUGUACAUUUGAGAAUCAGCUUCCGGAAAUAACAGAGAAUUAAAAAUCAUCAUAAAGGGGAAAAACAGAGCAUCCUGUCAAAUGCAAUGCGUAAUAACAGAGCAAGUGUGCCUGAAAUUCAACUCUUAUUUUAAGUUCAACAUCUUCUAGGCCAAAGGAAAUGGAGGACUGCCCCAAACAUCUGUUUUUUAUAGCCAAACAAACUUGAGAUGAAUGAGCUCUGGAAAGAAAUGGUUCCUUUGGCUCAAGCAUUCAUGAGAACCUUUUAGCUGCUGCAGCCAUCUGCAUCAAGUAGGAAUGCAAACUUAGGCAAAAUAAUUAGCGAACAAUUUGCUCUCGGUUUGCAAAAACAUAUGCAAGAAAAUAGUCUUAAGCUUCUAGCUGCGUAAGAGAAUUGACUGUGCAUUUUCAUGUAUGAAGAUAAACUUAAUAAAAAAGAAAUGACAGAGGAUUUAGCUAGCUUGGAUAUAAUUGCUGUUGAAGUACUCAAAAAGUAUGAUGACUUACAUUUUGAAGUGAGCUCGAUCCGAAUUCUGAUCUGUAAUUCAGCUCCAAUGGUAUUUAUGUGACAUGACCCUCCUCUUUCAUCCGGGCUUGGGACCGGCUGUGUAAAAGAUCGGACUUGAGGCACAAUACAG